GGAGAGGUGACAGAGCGGUUGAUCGUGCCGGUCUCGAAAACCGGUGUACCCGCAAGGGUACCGGGGGUUCGAAUCCCCCCCUCUCCG
rnacentral:tRNA from 1 species